rnacentral:rRNA from 1 species
AAUCAACGCUGGCGGCGUGCCUCAGACAUGCAAGUCGAACGCGAAAGUUUCCUUCGGGAGACAAGUAGAGUGGCGCACGGGUGAGUAACACGUAGGUAAUCUACCUUUGGAUGGGGAAUAACAACCGGAAACGGUUGCUAAUACCGCAUAAUGCAGCGGCACCUAAUGGUGACAGUUGUUAAAGCGGGGGAUCGAAAGACCUCGCGUCUAAAGAGGAGCCUGCGGCGGAUUAGCAGUUGGUAAGGUAAUGGCUUACCAAGGCUACGAUCCGUAACCGGCCUGAGAGGGGCGGUCGGUCACACUGACACUGACAUACGGGUCAGACUCCUACGGGAGGCAGCAGUUUCGGGAAUUUUGGGCAAUGGGCGAAAGCCUGACCCAGCAACGCCGCGUGAAGGAUGAAA